CUCUUCCUUCAGCUAAUCUAAUAGCGAAAAAACACACGAUCACAGAGUCAGACUCAGUUACGCUGCAUUGUCAGACUCCGUCAUCUAUUGCUGUGGAUCAGUGUUAUUUCUAUACUGAUCGAGGACAAACUCCUAAAAACCUCCCCUGCCUGCAGACACUGACAGGAACUGAUCUACUGUCUAUGUCAUGGCAGCGUCCACCUGCUAAUGUUGAAGUCAAGUGUUUUUAUACUGUAAAGUAUAAAGACACACGUUCUCCGUCUCCACACAGUGACUCAGUCUCCAUCACUGUACACAGUCAAAAACCACAGAUGAGCUGUUCUGAUUUGGGUGACCACGUUGUUUUUUCUUGCUUUUUGCCUGAAUCUGUUGAACAUGGUACAAAAUGUAACUUGUACAUUGGAGAAGCAGAUCAUCCAGUCUCAACAACACCCAUCAUGAAGAAAACCACCUCAAGAAUACAGCAGUUGUGUCAGUUUUAUAUCACGAGAGACGUUUUGCUGAAACUCCUACAAUUAGUUCAGCUAAAGGAGGCCAGCUGUGAUUACAGCCUGGAACAUGAACCCAACUUUGCUUCUGCUCGUAGUGAUGGAUGCAGCUUGACUGGUAAGUCAGAGAAGACAAGUAUAUACAUAUUAAAUGACUUAACAGUGUCUAACGUGACCUGAAUGGUUAUUAUGUUUACUGUACAUUGACAAAGUCAUGGUGAUGCUCUAUUACUAGUGCUCGUGGCUGUGCAUCAUCGCCACUUUUCAGGUUUUUCUAUUUAACCCUCAGCACCACAUCAUUAGAGCCACAAGUAAACGAUUCUAAAAUUUUUAAUACUUUAGUUUACUGUUUAUUGAAAAAAAACAUUCACAGUAACACAGUUCAAGCUGUGGACACUGGUUUCAUUUUGCCACAGGUAAGGGGUUCAUCUAACACAUCUAAAGCUUUAGUUUAUUUUUUUUUAUUGAAUGCUUAUCAGCUUUACAAGUACAACACAACCUGUUUAAUCGCUCACAUGUU
rnacentral:lncRNA from 1 species